rnacentral:lncRNA from 10 species
CAGAAAUCUCAUAAAAGAGGCUACACUUUGAGCCUGAGCUUGAAACUAGGAACUGUCUUACACAGUCAGCUGGAGGGUUGGAAUUGAACAGACCAUGCUAUUUCCAGUAGGUGUGCAGAUCCCACAGAAGACACAAGAAAACAGACCCUGAUGACACUCCAGUGGAGGAGAAGAACAGAUAAGGGAUGGCCUUGCAGCUACCCUGGAGACUUCAGCAGCAGCCUCCAUUUCUCUCCCUAGAAGUAUUUUGGAGUCACAGGCCUUAGACUGUGAGGCCACUGUUCUGCAUCUUCCCUGGCCCCUACACCUGAUGGUUGGAGUCCUAGGCUCUAAGCCCUCAAAUGAGAAAGUUGCUUCUUUAUCUGCUUUUCCCCAUCUUUUCCUGGACUUCAGGCCAUUCUUCUUCACUUUAUCUAUGUUUUUAUUUCCAGCAUCCAUCCUAACACUUCUAUUCAAGGUAAAGUUUAUUGGAUUUCUAACCAGAGAAGUUCUCCUUUGAACCCUGACCAAUGUCUUCUUAUUCUGCAGCGUUUAAAAGAAGCAUAGUAAAUGGUGAGAAGAUGAAUUACACUCUUUAGUGGCAAUUGGCUUUUUCACCUAUGGCUUUAAACUAGGGAUCAGCAAACUAUGGCCCACAGGCCAAAUCUGUCCCAUUACCUAUUUUAAUAAAUAAAGUUUUACUGGAACAUAGCCACCCCCAUUCAUUCAGGUAUUGUCUCUAGCUGCCUUGAGCUCCAGAAGCACAGUUGAGCAGGUAGUUUUGACAGAGACCAUGUGGCCCAGAACCCUAAAAUAUUUACCACAGAGCCUUUACAGAGAAAGUUUGUUGACCCCUUUUCUAACCCAUUAUGAAGACUAAUUUUUCUCUAAUAGUCAUAUUUAUUCUGUAGUAAAGGUCUAUAUGCUUUUACUUUGGAAGUUUAUCUAUUUCCCUACCACAGCUGAUAUGUCACAACCUUAGUGCCUGUUUCCUAUGUGAGAAUCAUCUUCAGCAUCAUCAACUCCCCCUCUCUCCCUAUAGUCCACCCUGGUAACCAUCUGGAAUUCUAUUAAUAAAUUCUACAUACAUUUCUAUGGAAAAUUGCUUUACAUAUAUAGCAUUAAAUUUUAAAAUUUCCCUGGCAUCAAGACAUGGAGGAACACUGAGUGGUUAGGCCUAAUGAAAUGGUGCAAUUCAUUUUUCCUCUUUGUUCUCUUUCAUACAAGGUAUAUCAACAGAGCCAAAAAUUGUCCAUAGAGAGGAAGAAAAACUGAAACAUUUCAAUAAUCUAUAUACCAGAAAAUCAAUUCAUAAUAAUUAAAAUUUAACUGGGCCAACUUUCAAAGCAAUCAAGCGCUUUCAGAGCACUUGAUUUUCCUGUAAUGUAGUAAGAUAAUUUACAUCAGUUUUUACUUAAAGUAUUUUGUUAAGAGAGUUUCAUUUAGUAAUUCAGAACAAGGACUCUGGAGCUAUACUUCCGGGGUGCAAAUCCUAGCUUUGUCCCUUAUUGACUUAUGUAGCUUCUUUGUACCUCAGUCUUCUCACCCAUAAAAUGGAGGUUAUACUACCAUCUACUUUAUGAGGUUUAUAAAAAUUAUAUGAGUUAAUAUAUGCUGAAUACUUAGAACAGUAUUGCAUGAUAAGUACUAUAUGCUUUUAUUGUUAUUUAUUUAUUUAUUGCUUUUUGUGUUUCUCUACUCUCAAAGUGAUAUGAAUACUUUUGUUAGAGGAAAGUAUGUAUAUAUUCUGGCAGAAUUUCCCCAUUUCUUCUCCUUGCUAGGCAGGCAUUUGCCUCAUUGCUUUCUACUCAUUUCACCUAUUACCCUAGCCUUACUAGUCCCCUCUCAGAAUCCCUUCACUCUGUUUUGCUGUUGUUUAAUGGACAAAUGAAAAUUGUAUUAUUUAUGAUGUAUAACAUGAUGUUUUGAUUCAUUGUGGAAAGGCUAAAUCAAGCUAAUUAACAUAUGUCUUACCUAAUGCACUUAUUGUUAUUUUAUGGUCAAAUACAUAAAAUUUGCUUUCUUAGCAAUGUUUAAAAUACAACAUUUUGUUAUUAGGUCUAGUUGCCAUGAUAUACAAUAGAUCUCUAGAAAUUAUUCUGUCUGACUAAAAAUUUGUAUUCUUUGACCAACAUUUCCCCAAUCUCCCCAUCUCUCAGCCUAUGGCAAUACCAUUCUACUGUCUGCUUCUAAGAGUUUGACUUUUUAAGAUUCCACGUAUAAGUGAGAUCAAACACUAUUUGUCCUUCUGUGCUGGGCUUAUUUCAUGUAACAUGAUGCUCUUCAGGUUCAUCCACGUUGUCACAAGAGAUAGAAUUUCCUUAAUUUG